AUUUUUAAUGUUACAAAUUUCCACCUAGACUAACAUGAAUGACACGUGGAUAUAUUUUGCUGACGAGGCAUGAAUUUUACACCUUUGCCCAUAUUAAAAUCCAAAUACAAUACUCCCUAGUACCAAACUCGAACCCGAACCCGAACCCAAAUCACAAAUCAUGACCCAGUCGAUUCAUCCAUAUUUCCUUCCUUUUUCCAUCUCUAAUCUAUACAUCAGCCAUGGCAACGAAAAACAAAGUUCCACUGCCUCCAUUGUCCAUGGUCAAAGAAUAACUCCUCGUAAUCAUCCAAAAAUUGUAAAAAAUAAACCUCAAAUUCCACACAAAUUUUCGCCAAUUAAAAACCUCUCACCCAAAAUGAUUUCAUUCUCUUCAAGAUCAGCGAGACGGUGUUGACCGUGAAAGAGAUGUAUUUGGUUUGGACAUACAAUUUUUGGUUAAUGUUUGUAGUUUCGCUAACAAUGACUUAUGGUUAGUGGGGUUGAGGUCCGUGAUGGUGCACUAGUGUUAAUUGUUGAUGAUAGUGUUGUAUAAAUGAGAUUUCUUUGUCUCUAUUUUAAAUGGAUCUUUGAGAAUAAUGAGUUUAGAGAGAGAAAACUUAGAGAAAGAAAAUAGAUCUGAGUAAUACAAGUUUUGGCUCAUCUUCUUCUUCAUCUAAAUUCGAGAAUGUUACUGAAUUUGUUGUAAAGUGAUCAGUGAUGGAAAAUAUUUAAGCCUUGUUUUAGAACUCAUUGUCUUUCUAUGUGCCCACUUUAAUGAUUAUUGUUUAAUUGAGAAAUAUGGUG
rnacentral:lncRNA from 1 species